UACGGGGGGGGCAAGCGUUGUUCGGAAUUACUGGGCGUAAAGGGCUCGUAGGUGGCCAACUAAGUCAGACGUGAAAUCCCUCGGCUUAACCGGGGAACUGCGUCUGAUACUGGAUGGCUUGAGUUCGGGAGAGGGAUGCGGAAUUCCAGGUGUAGCGGUGAAAUGCGUAGAUAUCUGGAGGAACACCGGUGGCGAAGGCGGCAGCCUGGACCGACACUGACACUGAGGAGCGAAAGCCAGGGGAGCAAACGGG
rnacentral:rRNA from 1 species